rnacentral:rRNA from 1 species
GAUGAACGCCGGCGGCAUGCCUAAUACAUGCAAGUCGAACGAAGUGGCGAACGGGUGAGUAACACGUAGGUAACCUGCCCAUGUGCCCGGGAUAACUUCUGGAAACGGAUGCUAAAACCGGAUAAACAUGGAUGGACCUGCGGUGCAUUAGCUAGUUGGUGAGGUAACGGCCCACCAAGGCGACGAUGCAUAGCCGGCCUGAGAGGGCGGACGGCCACAUUGGGACUGAGACACGGCCCAAACUCCUACGGGAGGCAGCAGUAGGGAAUUUUCGUCAAUGGGGGGAACCCUGAACGAGCAAUGCCGCGUGAGUGAGGAAGGUCUUCGGAUCGUAAAGCUCUGUUGUAAGAGAAAUGGUAUCUUACCAGAAAGUCACGGCUAACUACGUGCCAGCAGCCGCGGUAAUACGUAGGUGGCGAGCGUUAUCCGGAAUGAUUGGGCGUAAAGGGUGCGUAGGUGGCAGAUCAAGUCUGGAGUAAAAGGUAUGGGCUCAACCCGUACUGGCUCUGGAAACUGAUCAGCUAGAGAACAGAAGAGGACGGCGGAACUCCAUGUGUAGCAGUAAAAUGCGUAGAUAUAUGGAAGAACACCGGUGGCGAAGGCGGCCGUCUGGUCUGAUUCUGACACUGAAGCACGAAAGCGUGGGGAGCAAAUAGGAUUAGAUACCCUAGUAGUCCACGCCGUAAACGAUGAGAACUAGGUGUUGGGCAGUGCCGCAGUUAACGCAAUAAGUUCUCCGCCUGGGGAGUAUGCACGCAAGUGUGCAACUCAAAGGAAUUGACGGA